GUAGUAGUGCGCGUCGGAAAAUUGUUACUUAAUUUAGACUGUGGUAAAAGUAAAAUUUAAAACGAUACGCUAUAAUAACGAAAACACAAUUGUUGAAGAAACGAAGAUUACAUGUAUGGUUUUUGUUAAGCCCAAAACACACGUGUACAUAAAACAGAACAAAUAGUGUUAGUUUGCGGAGAAAAAGGUCCUGUAAGCGGGCCUUUUUCUCUUUUCUGCAUUGCUUGGCGGAGCAAGCGGUGGUUAUUUCAUCCACAGGACAAAAGCGGCCCCUCUUUCACUUCAAGCGCACCUAGCUUCAUCUCCCAAAACGCCAAGGACGGACAGACGCUGAAAAGGGUGCCCACGUUAC